CGUAGGCGCAAGCGUUAUCCGGAAUUAUUGGGCGUAAAGAGCUCGUAGGCGGUUUGUCGCGUCUGCCGUGAAAGUCCGGGGCUUAACUCCGGAUCUGCGGUGGGUACGGGCAGACUAGAGUGCAGUAGGGGAGACUGGAAUUCCUGGUGUAGCGGUGAAAUGCGCAGAUAUCAGGAGGAACACCGAUGGCGAAGGCAGAUCUCUGGGCUGUAACUGACGCUGAGGAGCGAAAGCAUGGGGAGCGAACAGGAUU
rnacentral:rRNA from 1 species